rnacentral:rRNA from 1 species
UAGGCCUUGUCUGACACUUAGGGACGAACGCUAGGGGAGCGAAUGGGAUUAGAUACUCCAGUAGUCCUAGCCGUACACGAUGGAUACUAGGCGUAGCUCGUAUCGACCCUAGCUGUGCCGGAGCUAAUGCGUUAAGUAUCCCGGCUGGGGAGUACGCAUGCAACUGUGAAACUCAAAUGAAUUGAUCGGGGGUCCGCACAAGCGGUGGAGUAUGUGGUUUAAUUCGAUGCAUCGCGUAAGAACCUUACCAAGGCUUGACAUGUCCACGAAUCCUGUAGAAAUAUAGGAGUGCCUUCGGGAAGCGUGAACACAGGUGGUGCAUUGGCUGUCGUCAGGCUCGUGUCGUGAAGAUGUUGGGUUAAGUCCCGGCAACGAGGCGCAACCCUUGGUUUUUAGUUGCCCAGCAUUAGGUUGGGCACUUUAAGAGAGGCUGCCGGGUGACCAACCGGGAGGGAGGUGGGGGAUGACGUCAAAUUCAGCCUGCCCCUUUACGUUUUGGGGUACCACACGUACUUCAAAUGCUUACGGGCAAAGGGCCGGUUCCCCGCGAUGUUGUUGCGAAUUUUAUUAACCGUAGGUUCAGUUCCGGUUGAAAGGUUCAACUUGUCUUUCGUGAACGGAGGAUUGGUUGUAAUUGCAGGUUAGCCUUACUUCCGUGAAUUUCGUUUCCGGGCCUUGGUACACCCCCGCCCGUUCCCCCCAUGAAAGUGGUCCCCGCCGGAGUUGGUUCCCCCACCGAAAGGGGGGGGGAUGCUAAGGUUGGGACUGAAUGACUGUGUGAGUCGUAACAUUGCUUAGC